rnacentral:rRNA from 1 species
AGGACGAACGCUGGCGGCGUGCUUAACACAUGCAAGUCGAGCGAGACUUCGGUCUAGCGGCGAACGGGUGAGUAACACGUGGGCAACCUGCCCCGAGCUCUGGGAUAACUCCGGGAAACCGGGGCUAAUACCGGAUACGACCCGAGAAGACAUCUUCUCGGGUGGAAAGUUUUUCGGCUCGGGAUGGGCCCGCGGCCUAUCAGCUUGUUGGUGGGGUAACGGCCUACCAAGGCGACGACGGGUAGCCGGCCUGAGAGGGCGACCGGCCACACUGGGACUGAGACACGGCCCAGACUCCUACGGGAGGCAGCAGUGGGGAAUAUUGCGCAAUGGGCGAAAGCCUGACGCAGCGACGCCGCGUGAGGGAUGAAGGCCUUCGGGUUGUAAACCUCUUUCAGCAGGACGAAGCGAAAGUGACGGUACCUGCAGAAGAAGCACCGGCCAACUACGCGCCAGCAGCCGC